GAACGACGCUGGCGGCGUGCUUAACACAUGCAAGUUGAACGGGCAUACAUGGAAGCUUGCUGAAGUGUAUGUUAGUAGCGGACGGGUGAGUAAUGCAUGAGGACCUGCCUACCGGAGGGGGACAACAGUUGGAAACGGCUGCUAAUACCCCGUAUGCCGAGAGGUGAAAGGAAUGGAGACAUUCCGCCGGGAGAGGGACUCAUGUCCUAUCAGCUAGUUGGUGAGGUAACGGCUCACCAAGGCGACGACGGGUAGCCGGCCUGAGAGGGCGACCGGCCACACUGGAACUGAGAGACGGUCCAGACUCCUACGGGAGGCAGCAGUGGGGAAUAUUGGGCAAUGGGGGCAACCCUGACCCAGCGACGCCGCGUGAGGGAAGAAGGCCUUCGGGUUGUAAACCUCUUUUGUACGGGAAGAUAAUGACGGUACUGUACGAAUAAGUCCCGGCUAACUACGUG
rnacentral:rRNA from 1 species